UACGUAGGGUGCGAGCGUUGUCCGGAAUUAUUGGGCGUAAAGGGCUCGUAGGCGGUUUGUCACGUCGGGAGUGAAAACUCAGGGCUCAACCCUGAGCCUGCUUCCGAUACGGGCAGACUAGAGGUAUGCAGGGGAGAACGGAAUUCCUGGUGUAGCGGUGAAAUGCGCAGAUAUCGGGAGGAACACCGGUGGCGAAGGCGGCGACCUGGGUAGAUACUGACGCUGAGGCGCGAAAGCGUGGGGAGCAAACAGG
rnacentral:rRNA from 1 species